AGCUUCAGUAGCGUAUAUUAAAGUUGUUGCAGUUAAAAAGCUCGUAGUCGCAUUUCUGGCGAGAGGAUCCGGUCCGACCUUUUGGUGGGUUCUUGGGUCUCUUUCGCCAUCCUUGAGUGGUCCGUUCUGGCAUUAGGUUGUCGGAGCGUCAGCCGCUCAUCGUUUACUGUGAGAAAAUUAGAGUGUUCAAAGCAGGCUUAUGCCGUUGAAUAUAUUAGCAUGGAAUAAUAAGAUAGGACCUCGGUACUAUUUUGUUGGUUUGCGCACCAAGGUAAUGAUGAACAGGGACAGUUUGGGGUAUUUGUAUUUCGUUGUCAGAGGUGAAAUUCUUAGAUUUACGAAAGACAAACUACUGCGAAAGCAUUUUCCAAGGAUGUUUUCA
rnacentral:rRNA from 1 species